CUUAGGGCUAGGGCUAGGGCAAGGGUCCAUUUGCGUUUUUGCGGCGUAGGGAGCGAGAAGCGAGCGAACAAGGAUGAGGGCAAAGUGGAAGAAGAAACGCAUGAGGCGGCUCAAGCGCAAGCGCCGAAAGAUGAGACAGAGAUCCAAGUAGGAGGAGGGAAGCGCCCGCGCCCGGUGAGUGCCAAGUAAGAGUUACUCCACUCUUGGCACAAAUCUUAGCAAAAGGUGUGGCGGCAUUCCUCCCGUUUUUCCUUUCUUCCAAGUCAAAUGUAUUCGAGGCUAUAUUUCAGUAAAAUCUCACUUUGAUCUCGUUUA